rnacentral:tRNA from 1 species
GGGGAGAUGGCUUAGUGGUGAAGAGCACUGGCUGAUGUUGCAGAGAACUGGGUUCAAUUCCCAGUGCCCA